UCGAGGAUCUUCGGCAAUGGGCGCAAGCCUGACCGAGCGACGCCGCGUGUGCGAUGAAGGCCUUCGGGUUGUAAAGCACUGUCGGGGAGAAGAAAGCCUGGAAACGGGUUGAUCGACUCCCGGAGGAAGCACGGGCUAAGUUCGUGCCAGCAGCCGCGGUAAGACGAACCGUGCGAACGUUGUUCGGAAUCACUGGGCUUAAAGGGCGCGUAGGCGGGCUAUCAAGUCAAGGGUGAAAUCCUGCGGCUCAACCGUAGAAGAGCCCCUGAUACUGAUGGUCUGGAGGGAGGUAGGGGCGUGUGGAACUUCCGGUGGAGCGGUGAAAUGCGUAGAGAUCGGAAGGAACGCCGGUGGCGAAAGCGACACGCUGGACCUCUUCUGACGCUGAGGCGCGAAAGCCAGGGGAGCAAACGGGAUUAGAUACCCCCGUAGUCC
rnacentral:rRNA from 1 species